AGUGAACGCUGGCGGUAGGCCUAACACAUGCAAGUCGAACGGCAGCACAGGAGAGCUUGCUCUCUGGGUGGCGAGUGGCGGACGGGUGAGGAAUACAUCGGAACCUACUUUUUCGUGGGGGAUAACGUAGGGAAACUUACGCUAAUACCGCAUACGACCUACGGGUGAAGGCAGGGGAUCUUCGGACCUUGCGCGAUUGAAUGAGCCGAUGUCGGAUUAGCUAGUUGGCGGGGUAAAGGCCCACCAAGGCGACGAUCCGUAGCUGGUCUGAGAGGAUGAUCAGCCACACUGGAACUGAGACACGGUCCAGACUCCUACGGGAGGCAGCAGUGGGGAAUAUUGGACAAUGGGCGCAAGCCUGAUCCAGCCAUACCGCGUGGGUGAAGAAGGCCUUCGGGUUGUAAAGCCCUUUUGUUGGGAAAGAAAUCCAGCUGGUUAAUACCCGGUUGGGAUGACGGUACCCAAAGAAUAAGCACCGGCUAACUUCGUGCCAGCCGCCGCAGUAA
rnacentral:rRNA from 1 species